CCAGCCUGCCCAGUGACAAAGUUUAACGGCCGCGGUACCCUAACCGUGCGAAGGUAGCAUAAUCACUUGUUCUUUAAAUAGGGACUCGUAUCAACGGCAUCACGAGGGCUAUACUGUCUCCUUUCUCCAAUCAGUGAAACUGAUCUUCCCGUGAAGAAGCGGGAAUUAUUGUAUAAGACGAGAAGACCCCAUGGAGCUUUAAACUCAAUAUAUACCUCUACGCAUUUAUAUCACUAUAGCCUAAGAAAAUUAUAUAUUAGUUUUGGGUUGGGGGGACCGCGGAGAAAAAAUUAACCUCCACGACAAAUAGGCCAACGCCUUUAUCUAUGAACCACAAUUCUAAGAAUCAAUAAACUGAUGUUUAAUGAUCCAAUUUUUUGAUCAACGAACCAAGUUACCCUGGGGAUAACAGCGCAAUCUACUUCAAGAGCUCCUAUCGACAAGUGGGUUUACGACCUCGAUGUUGGAUCAGGGUAUCCUAGUGGUGCAGCCGCUACUAAAGGUUCGUUUGUUCAACGAUUAAAACCCU
rnacentral:rRNA from 1 species